GCGAUACAGGGUGACAGCCCCGUACACAAAAAUGCACAUAUUGUGAGCUCGAUGAGUAGGGCGGGACACGUGGUAUCCUGUCUGAAUAUGGGGGGACCAUCCUCCAAGGCUAAAUACUCCUGACUGACCGAUAGUGAACCAGUACCGUGAGGGAAAGGCGAAAAGAACCCCGGCGAGGGGAGUGAAAAAGAACCUGAAACCGUGUACGUACAAGCAGUGGGAGCCUCUUAAUGGGGUGACUGCGUACCUUUUGUAUAAUGGGUCAGCGACUUAUAUUCUGUAGCAAGGUUAACCGAAUAGGGGAGCCGAAGGGAAACCGAGUCUUAACUGGGCGUUAAGUUGCAGGGUAUAGACCCGAAACCCGGUGAUCUAGCCAUGGGCAGGUUGAAGGUUGGGUAACACUAACUGGAGGACCGAACCGACUAAUGUUGAAAAAUUAGCGGAUGACUUGUGGCUGGGGGUGAAAGGCCAAUCAAACCGGGAGAUAGCUGGUUCUCCCCGAAAGCUAUUUAGGUAGCGCCUCGUGAAUUCAUCUCCGGGGGUAGAGCACUGUUUCGGCAAGGGGGUCAUCCCGACUUACCAACCCGAUGCAAACUGCGAAUACCGGAGAAUGUUAUCACGGGAGACACACGGCGGGUGCUAACGUCCGUCGUGAAGAGGGAAACAACCCAGACCGCCAGCUAAGGUCCCAAAGUCAUGGUUAAGUGGGAAACGAUGUGGGAAGGCCCAGACAGCCAGGAUGUUGGCUUAGAAGCAGCCAUCAUUUAAAGAAAGCGUAAUAGCUCACUGGUCGAGUCGGCCUGCGCGGAAGAUGUAACGGGGCUAAACCAUGCACCGAAGCUGCGGCAGCGACACUAUGUGUUGUUGGGUAGGGGAGCGUUCUGUAAGCCUGUGAAGGUGGCCUGUGAGGG
rnacentral:rRNA from 1 species